rnacentral:rRNA from 1 species
GAUGAACGCUGGCGGCGUGCCUAAUACAUGCAAGUCGAGCGAACAGACGAGGAGCUUGCUCCUUUGACGAUAGCGGCGGACGGGUGAGUAACACGUGGGUAACCUACCUAUAAGACUGGGAUAACUUCGGGAAACCGGAGCUAAUACCGGAUAAUAUUUCGAACCGCAUGGUUCGAUAGUGAAAGAUGGCUUUGCUAUCACUUAUAGAUGGACCUGCGCCGUAUUAGCUAGUUGGUAAGGUAACGGCUUACCAAGGCAACGAUACGUAGCCGACCUGAGAGGGUGAUCGGCCACACUGGAACUGAGACACGGUCCAGACUCCUACGGGAGGCAGCAGUAGGGAAUCUUCCGCAAUGGGCGAAAGCCUGACGGAGCAACGCCGCGUGAGUGAUGAAGGUCUUCGGAUCGUAAAACUCUGUUAUUAGGGAAGAACAAACGUGUAAGUAACUGUGCACGUCUUGACGGUACCUAAUCAGAAAGCCACGGCUAACUACGUGCCAGCAGCCGCGGUAAUACGUAGGUGGCAAGCGUUAUCCGGAAUUAUUGGGCGUAAAGCGCGCGUAGGCGGUUUUUUAAGUCUGAUGUGAAAGCCCACGGCUCAACCGUGGAGGGUCAUUGGAAACUGGAAAACUUGAGUGCAGAAGAGGAAAGUGGAAUUCCAUGUGUAGCGGUGAAAUGCGCAGAGAUAUGGAGGAACACCAGUGGCGAAGGCGACUUUCUGGUCUGUAACUGACGCUGAUGUGCGAAAGCGUGGGGAUCAAACAGG